rnacentral:rRNA from 1 species
UACGUAGGGUGCGAGCGUUAAUCGGAAUUACUGGGCGUAAAGCGUGCGCAGGCUGUGAUGUCAGAAAGUUGUGAAAUCCCCGGGCUCAACCUGGGAACUGCAUCUGUGACUGCAUCGCUGGAGUGCGGCAGAGGGGGAUGGAAUUCCGCGUGUAGCAGUGAAAUGCGUAGAUAUGCGGAGGAACACCGAUGGCGAAGGCAAUCCCCUGGGCCUGCACUGACGCUCAUGCACGAAAGCGUGGGGAGCAAACAGG